rnacentral:rRNA from 1 species
ACGGGGUGCAGCAGGCGCGAAACCUUCGCAAUGCGCGCAAGCGUGACGAGGGAACCCCAAGUGCGCAUGUACAGCAUGUGCUUUUACUAAGUGUAAAAAGCUUAGGGAAUAAGGGCUGGGUAAGACUGGUGCCAGCCUCCGCGGUAACACCAGCAGCUCAAGUGGUGAUCGCGUUUACUGGGUUUAAAGCGUACGUAGUCGGUUCGACAAGUUUUCUGUGAAAUCCUACAGCUUAACUGUAGGGAUUGCAGGAAAUACUAUCGAGCUUGAGACCGGGGCAGGAGUGGGGUAUUCUGGGGGUAGCGGUGAAAUGCUAUAAUCCCUGGAAGACCACCGGUAGCGAAGGCGCCACUCUGGAACGGGUCUGACGAUGAGGUACGAGAGCUAGGGGAGCGAACAGGAUUAGAUACCCUGGUAGUCCUAGCCGUAAACGAUGCGGGUUUAGUGUUCCCCAAACCUCGUGUUCGGGGAGUGCUGAAGGAAACCGUAAACCCGCCACCUGGGAGUACGU